rnacentral:rRNA from 1 species
UACGGAGGGGGCAAGCGUUGUUCGGAAUUACUGGGCGUAAAGCGCGCGCAGGCGGUCUUCCAAGUCAGUGGUGAAAGCCCGGAGCUCAACUCCGGAAUUGCCAUUGAAACUGUUAGACUUGAGGAUGAGAGAGGUGAGUGGAAUUCCCAGUGUAGAGGUGAAAUUCGUAGAUAUUGGGAAGAACACCGGUGGCGAAGGCGGCUCACUGGCUCAUUACUGACGCUCAGGCGCGAUAGCGUGGGGAUCAAACAGG